UACCCGCAGCUCAAGUGGUGGCCACUAUUAUUGAGCCUAAAACGUCCGUAGCCGGUUUUGUAAAUCUCUGGGUAAAUCCUGCCGCUCAACGGUAGGAAUUCUGGAGAGACUGCAAAACUAGGGAUCGGGUGAGGCGAGAGGUACUCCUGGGGUAGGGGUAAAAUCCUGUAAUCCUGGGGGGACGACCGGUGGCGAAAGCGUCUCGCUAGAACGACUCCGACGGUGAGGGACGAAGGCUAGGGGAGCAAACCGG
rnacentral:rRNA from 1 species